rnacentral:rRNA from 1 species
UACGAAGGGGGCUAGCGUUGUUCGGAAUUACUGGGCGUAAAGCGCGCGCAGGCGGUUUUUCAAGUCAGUGGUGAAAGCCCGGAGCUCAACUCCGGAACUGCCAUUGAAACUGUAAACUUGAGGACGAGAGAGGUGAGUGGAAUUCCCAGUGUAGAGGUGAAAUUCGUAGAUAUUGGGAAGAACACCUGUGGCGAAAGCGGCUCACUGGACCACAACUGACGCUGAGGCGCGAAAGCUAGGGGAGCAAACAGG